rnacentral:rRNA from 1 species
CAGUAGCCACGGUAAUACGGAGGGUGCAAGCGUUAAUCGGAAUUACUGGGCGUAAAGCGCACGCAGGCGGUUUGUUAAGUCAGAUGUGAAAUCCCCGAGCUUAACUUGGGAACUGCAUUUGAAACUGGCAAGCUAGAGUCUUGUAGAGGGGGGUAGAAUUCCAGGUGUAGCGGUGAAAUGCGUAGAGAUCUGGAGGAAUACCGGUGGCGAAGGCGGCCCCCUGGACAAAGACUGACGCUCAGGUGCGAAAGCGUGGGGAGCAAACAGGAUUAGAUACCCGCGUAGUCCCUGUCUCUUAUCA